rnacentral:rRNA from 1 species
GUGGGGAAUAUUGGACAAUGGGCGAAAGCCUGAUCCAGCCAUGCCGCGUGUGUGAAGAAGGUCUUCGGAUUGUAAAGCACUUUAAGUUGGGAGGAAGGGCAGUAAGUUAAUACCUUGCUGUUUUGACGUUACCGACAGAAUAAGCACCGGCUAACUUCGUGUCAGCAGCCGCGGUAAUACGAAGGGUGCAAGCGUUAAUCGGAAUUACUGGGCGUAAAGCGCGCGUAGGUGGUUUUGUAAGUUGGAGGUGAAAUCCCCGGGCUCAACCUGGGAACUGCCUCCAAAACUGCAUGACUAGAGUACGGUAGAGGGUAGUGGAAUUUCCUGUGUAGCAGUGAAAUGCGUAGAUAUAGGAAGGAACACCAGUGGCGAAGGCGACUACCUGGACUGAUACUGACACUGAGGUGCGAAAGCGUGGGGAGCAAACAGGAUUAGAAACCCGAGUAGUCC